UGUGUGCCUGUUCAUGUGACACGAGUGAUACAUUUAUGUACUAUUGCGUGGAAUAGUGGCUUAAAAAAUAAGGGUAGCAGCGCUUGCAUUGCUAUCUGUAGGAUAGACCGAGAGCGUUUUUAAUGGAAUUACCUCGCGAACCUGGUGAAGUCUUCGUUUUGGGCAGGCUAUUUUAUGAGAGCCGGUCCUGUUGCGAUGCAUUUGAUACGCUUUCCUGAAGCAGCGUGCUUUGUUCUUGUAGUGUGGUUUACGCCUUUAUCAAUAGAAAUGAAUAGAAGUGUUUGUUUGUUUGUUUGUUAGUUAGUUAGUAUGUAUCUGUCGCGUUCGUAGCGCUGUUCAAGCGCUAGCCGCGUAGCGAUUAGCGGUGAUUCUCCGAUUAUUCCUGAGCGGUACGACUUAAGCCUUUUCCCUGCUCACUUAAGCAAAUUUGUGUAUCCCUGUCCUGUGACACAAAUGCGUGUAAUUUUUCGCGGUUCUUUUCUUCUGUCACUGCUUUUACUCAGAAUGUAGGUGAGGGGGGAAAAAGUCAGCAUCCAGGUAGAGCAGGAGAAAGCCGCUCGGUAGAGGAGAGUUCAUGAGAAUGGAAUUUGUUUGUUUUUUGUUAUAUAUCGUUGAGUGUCAGUAUUCACUAGAGGUGUGCGAAUAUUCGAAAUUUCGAAUAUUGUUCGAAUAUUGUUGAUAUUCCAACCCUAUUCGUAUUCGAAAAUUUGAUAAUCGAGAAAUUCGAAUAUUCGAAAAUUUCGAAUAAUGGAGCACAAGCGCCAGCAUUCCCGCUAAAUUGAACAGAAUUCCAGGUAUUGGGAUUAAUCUUGCGAAAAUUCCACGUUUGGCACGUCCUUAGCGCGAUUUCCAAUUGGAAUCGGACUUCAUGUGCAUCCAGCAAAACCGCAAGUAGGCUUCACAGCAUGCUUCCGCGCAUUGCGUGCAGCCAACUUUAAGGCACAACGUCUGGUAGGCUGCCUAGCCGAUUUGAUUUUUUUAAUGUGUGCUUUCGUUAUUUUUUAAAAGAUAGUACAGACUCGAAGAAGUGUUUGUUUGUUUGUUAGUAUGUGUCUGUCACCUUCGUAGCGCUGUUCAGGCUUUAUUUUCUUUGCAAAAAUUCAGACUUUAUGGUAUUAAGCUGUUCGAGUAGAAGUGACUUUCCGUGCUCGCUUAAGAUAGAUUGUGUAUCCCUGUCCUGUGCUUUCUUCACGCAGGGCCAAUGCAAAUGAGUAUUUAGCAUUAUGCAAUAAUUAUCUGAUAGCAGAAAUGGGUGUCUUUGUCACAGUUUAUUAGCGUGUGCGUCGUUCUUUUAUUUAUUUUUUUCUCUUAUAGCUAUGCGAGCAAAAGUGCGUGCAAUAUUUCGCUGCUCUUUUCUUAUUUUCUCUACUUUUUAUGUAGAAGAAAGCCUCCUGCGUAAAAGCUGAAUAGUGUUCUACCAGUGGAAGUGGGGUUGUUUGUUUGAUUUUGUAGGGUGUUCGAUAUCUUGACGAAGUAAGCAGUGCUUAAUUUUGAAGGUUUUUGAGCAGAAAUGCUGGUAUCUGAGCACGGAGUAGAAAUUUCUAUAUUUCUCUGCUCCCUAAGAAAAUUUGUACGUCGUUUUCCAAGCAGACCGCGUUUAGUUUACGCAAAAUAGAAAAAUGAAGUUGUGUAUGCUCUAUGAUGAUCCGCCGCAGGCUUAGGCCUUUUCCCCGAUGAGCAGUGUUUUGUAUGCGAUGUCGCAUGUCUGGACUUGUUCAGUAGUGUUGCAAUUUUUACUCUUCGCUAAUAUCUUGUUGCUGUCGUCUUGGGUUAGACGUUGAGCUUUGUAGCGACGUGCGGUAACGCUACGAUUAUUCCUGAGCGCACCGCGUGUUUAAUGCGUUGUACUCUGUGCGUGCGUGCGUGCGUGUGCUUUUUUCCUGAUUUGUGACGUUCUCGUGGCAUGUCUGGACUUGUUUAGCAGUGUUGCAAUUCUUCCCGCUGCUAGUAUGUUGUUGGUGUCAUGUUGUGCUAGCCGCGUGGCGAUGUGAGGUUACCUGAGGUCUUAAGCCUUUUCCCUGCUCACCUAAGGAAAUUUGUGUAUCCCUGCCCUGUGCUUUCUUUACGCAAGGGUAAUGCGGCUGUGUAUGUGGCAUUAUGCAAGAAUUAUCUGGUGGCAGAAAUGGGUGUCUUUUUCUCAGUUUAUUGGCGUGUGCUACGGUUUCUUGCAGUUACAGCUAUUGGAGCACAAAAGCGUGUAGUUUUUCGCGGUUCUUUUCUCCUUUCACUGCUUUUACUCAGAAUGUAGAUGAGGGGAAACAGCCAGCAUCCAGGUAGAGCAGGAGAAAGCCGCUCGGCAGAGGAGAGUUCAUGAGAAUGGAAUUUGUUUGUUUUUUGUUAUAUGUUGAGUGUCAGUAUUCGCUUUCCUCGAUAUGUUGAGGAAGUCAGCCGUUAUAGGUAUUUGUGCAGAAAUGCUGGUAUCUGAGUGUGUGGAGUAGAAAUUCCUAUAAAGCACCUCUCCUUGUGCAUUCCUGAGCUGCUGUGUGUGCGCGCGUGCUUCUUUUUCCUGGUUUGCGACGUCAUGAUGGCAUGUUGGGUCUUGUUUAGCAGUGUUGCAAUUUUACCCGCCGCUAUUAUCUUGUUAUUUGUGUUAGCCGCGUAGCGAUGUCCAGUGACUCUGCUAUUAUUCCUGAGGUCUUAAGCCUUUUCCCUGCUCACCUAAGGAAAUUUGUGUAUCCCUGUCCUGUGCUUUCUUUGCGACAAUGCGUCUGUGUAUGUGGCACUAUCAGAUACCAGACAUGAGUGUCUUUUUCUUGGUUUAUUGGCAUAUGCUUCAGGUUUUUUAAGUCAAGCACAAGUGCGCGCAAUUUUUCGCUGCUCUCUUCCCCAAAUCACCGAUUUUACGCAGAAGAAAGUCGCAUGGUGCAGCUGAGAAGAGGGUUUCUCUGAUUGUCUGUUAGAUGUUGUUAGGAGCUCGGUAUGUUGAGGAAGUCAGCUGUUAAAGGUAUCCGUGAAGAAAUGCUUGCAUUUGAGCACAGGAUAGGAAUUCCUGAAUUCACGGCACCCUCAGUGUAAAUUAAUGAUUUUGUAUGUGAGUCUGCUUCACUGCAUGACAAGGCUGAAAUGGGAAGAGAGAAAAAAUUGGAGCGCUUCAUUAAUAGCGAUUCAAGUAAUAGGGCAAUUAUAGUUUCCAUAGAAAGUAGAAUUUUAAUGAGCUUCUAAAAUUAUAGUUUUGUAGUAGUGUUUCUAAACUGCAAUGCAAGGUAUAAAAUCAUUAAUAUGGUAAGAAUGCCAUCAUGUUCCCGUAAAGGCGUUCUGUCUUGUGCUUUGGCGUGCGCGAAUGGAACUGGAGGUGAUGUUGAGUGGUCUCACUUAUUAUUUUAAAAGAGCAGUGGUAGUUUACUGUAAUUCUAAUGACCAUGAUGAGCCUUUGGGGUGAAAAUCGUUAAUAUGCAGGGUGCUUUUUUGUUGAAUUUUAAUGAGAGAAUCAAUGUCAUUCAGAGUAGGACAAAGGAAAUAAUCUUGCGAUUCAAUAAUUAAUAGGAGUCUUUGCCGGUGUCUUCUUCAGACAGGAUGUGAUGAUGUCACGCAGUCUGUAGCAAUGCGUUGACUGUUACUGAAAAAAGUGUAGCAAAAUGGUGUGUAUUCCCCUGGACAGAUUUAUGAUGAGCACUGUUUUUGAACAAGAGGAGUGCGUGUGCUUGGAAAUAGUUUGAUGCUGGUUUCCUUCUUUGUUCCUUUUCGCUUUUUCCCCCUUGUUGUCUGACAAACAUGCGCUGACAUGCCUGGGCUUGUUCUGACAUGCUUUCCUUCUACAUGUAGUUUUUUUCUUUUUGUACAAGCAAUAUUCUUGACGAUAGUGCUGCCUUGAAUGGGAAUAGUGCUAUUCUUAAUACUUUUGCGAUUCAUUUAGUUCAGAGAGUAACCGCGAGGGGGACAGGUGUGUGACUUUAUUCAGGAGGAACAAAGCAUCAUUAUUCAAUUAUCUACCUGGCUCUCGGGUGGGAUGAGCAUGUCUUGCUGCACCAUUUUUUCCCUGUACAGUAAGACUUUGGGAAUGAAAUGCUAUAAUCUCCUCUUUUCUAUGGUGCUCUUCUGCAAUAGUUCCCUACGCAAUCAUUAUAGUAGAAUAAAGGAAAUAAUCUAGGGAUAGUGAUUCAAUAAAUAACAGGUGCCCUGUCUAGAGCGUACGCGUCCUUGAGCCACGCACCUGCAUGAUGACCGCAUACCGAGAGACUAUUGUUUCAGGUUGACCUUGUCUAGAGGAGCAUUAGUGGAAAAAAAACUGUGUAGCCCUGAGACAAUAGGAUGCCGACACGACCAAUGAGGCUGGCCUGCAGGGGGCGCAAGGAUUCACUUCUCUCUUGGACACUGACGGGUGUAGACACGGUAAUUAUGAUCCUGGCGUUGGCCGUCAGUGGAAGAGCGUAGCUUAGGUGGGGUUCUGUCUGCCUCUGAUGGGGUGUGGAUGUAUGGUUCGUCACUGGUGAAUGGUGUUCGACGAUGCAGGUGGAUUUUGUGACGAGCGGAUUUACAAUGAGGGAAUGCUGUGAACGGGAAAAAUGAUGGUGAGUGCCUUUUUCACUCUGUUCAAGUGUUCGUUUUCCUCUGUUGCCCAACAGUCGUGCGAAUUUGUCCUGACGUGUCCUGACAUGCCCCGAUAUGCGUGCUUUCCUUUGUUAACGCUUUGUAUUUUGUCUUUUUUUGACAAGGAACAUUGUCGUCUUGACGAUAGUGCUGCCCUGAGUUCUGCGCGCGUUGAUUUGUUGAGUGCCUAGUCCUCUUAUUAGCCGUUGAUGGAGUUACAUGUUAGGAUGUUUUGUUCUUUUGCAAGUCUCAUUUAGUAAGACUUUGGAAUUCCUACGAUCAGUUUUCAUGCAUGGUGCUCUUCUGCAAUAGUUUCCUAUGCAAUGGUUAUAGAAGAAUAAAGGAAAUAAUCUUGGGAUAGUGAUUCAAUAAAUAAUAGGUCCCCUGCUAGAGCGCACGCGUCCUUGAGCCACGCAGGUGCAUGAUGACGUCAUACCGUGGCUUCACUGCAGAUUGACCAAAGGAGCAUUAGUGGAAAAAAAAAACAGUGUAGCCCUGAGACAAUAGGAUGAUGUCUGGACCAAUGAGAACUGCCAGCAGGGGGCGCAGGAAUGCUCUUCUCACUUAGCCUCACGACCAAUGAGAACGGCCAGCAGGGGGCGCAGGAAUGCUCUUCUCUCUUAGCCUCUCGCAGGUGGCGGUAGGAGCGCGCAGAGGGCGCUACGAGCGCGCGCAUGCGUAGCACCCGUAGAGUGGCGCUUACGUCAGUCCACCUCUGGCUCUCGUUGGGAGAAGACGUGCGGUCGUUCGCUCCGUCGUCACUUGAUCCCUGGCUGUCGACGAGAGCAGUCGCAUCGGUCUGCGCUCCUACUGUGAGCUGUCCUAACUUGCCCAGACAUGCCGUGAUGACGUCACAGCUGACGUCACAGGAUGUCCGGAACUGGUGGUCAUAGCUGCGAUGCUUUGCAACCUGCUUCUGUGCUCCGUCACCCAGCGACGGUCAGCGGCCUUUCCGGACCGCUUUCUUCAAGAUGGCGCCGUUGAUCUUCAAUUAAACUCCUUCUCUCCACUCUA